rnacentral:rRNA from 1 species
AUGGAGGCUGAUGACUGGGAGGAGUUACAGUUAAAAGUAGCCGAGACUAUACGGUUGUGUCUGUCGGACCAGGUUAUUUAUCAUGUGAUGGAUGAGAAUUCGCUGAAGAAGAUCUGGGAGAAGCUGGAAAGUCAGUUUAUGUCCAAGACUGCGACGACCAAGGUGUAUCUGAAGCAAAAAUUGUAUGAGAUGAGGAUGCAGGAAGGGUCAGAUCUUGUGGAAUAUAUGAACGCCUUUAAUCAAGUCGUGACGGAUCUAGCACGCUUGGGUGUGACGGUUGACGACGAGGAUAGGGCAAUUCUGCUUCUUUGUUCAUUGCCAUCAUCCUAUGACCAUUUGGUCACUACUUUGACGCACGGCAAGGAGACCGUCAAGAAUGAGGAUAUUACUGCGGCAUUGCUAUCUUAUGAUAUGAGAAAGAAGAACAAGUCUCUCAUGGUGAAGGUUUGCUAG